rnacentral:lncRNA from 1 species
UCCUCUUGUGCUGACUGCUCUCUGUUGCAUUUUCCUUAUCCCUGAAAUGAGAGUAAGAUACUCACCAGAGGUUGGAGACAGAUUCCAAAUGUGUUGACUCCCUCCCCUCCCUUACCCUGUCCUCUCUGAGUCCUAUCUUUUUUCUUUUAAGAUUUUAUUUAUUUACUUGAGAGCGAGAGAGGGAGAGGGAGACCAGAGAGCAUGAGAGGGGAGAAGGUCAGAGGGAGAAGCAGGCUCCCUGCUGAGUGGGACUCGAUCCUGGGACUCCAGGAUCAUGACCUGAGCCAAAGGCAGUUGCUUAACCAACUGAGCCACCCAGGCGCCCCUGGAUCUUAUCUUUAAAUACUUUCAUUUUUGGUUAGCAGGCUUGGCUGGGGCAGAGCCCUACGGGCAUGGGUAGGAGUGCUCCUGGAGAGAACGUAGGUGAACCUUUUCAUUUUUCCCUCUUGUUUACCUUUCCUUUUUUCCUUCCUCCUUUCUGUCUCUGCCUCUUCCUCUCUUUCUGAUGAGCCCUCGCCCAGGGCCCUCUCCCACCCACUUAGUUUUAUGCUUUCAAUAAGUCAUCUUGGGGCCUUCUGUUCUAGGAACUGUCCAUCCCUCCUCCACUCCUGGGGCAAACAGUGCGGCUUUCCAGAACGCAAGGCUUUCAGCAUUCACGUCUGGCCUUCAUCUACCUUCAUGCUCAUAUGACUGAUGCUGAAGUCCAGGCUAUCCCAAAGGCAGAGAAGGCUUUGAUGGUCUAAAUCUCUCCCCAUGCUCCAUCAGUUCUGGUAGUAUUUUCUAUCUUCUUCAGUGGGAAUCAGUUCAAAAAAAGCUGCGUCGGAAGCCUUGCAAGCCUCAACUACGGUCCGAGUCUUGACCGCUGCAGCAGAGGUCCUUACCUUCUUAGGAAGGGGCCUGCAAGACCCUUUGGUUCCUGACACCAGAGCUGACUGCCGUCCUCUCGCGGCUGCCCCAGGAUCAGCUGGAUGGAGCUGCGGAGCCUUGGCCAUUUGUACGUACCGUAGGAAAGCACCUGCCAAGGGCCGAACUGGGCGCCGAGGACGUGAAGAUGGACAAAGCAUUGACUUUAGUCCUGAUGGUUUACAAGCCGGUGGAAGAGAAAGCACGUAAGGGGGCUUUCUACCUGGACUAGAGUAAAACACAGGAUUUGGAGAGAACAC